rnacentral:misc_RNA from 1 species
AUACAUAGGAAAAACAGGUUAGUUGGAGAUAGUUGGUUUCCUGAGAUUUUGGUUGCAUUGUAGUUUACAUCUUGGUAUGGAUGCCAUGUGAGAGAGUUUAAAAUUUGUAGGAGUUAGCAUGGCACAAGCAAAUUUGUUCAAUUGUUGGAUUGGAAUGAGUAGACAUGUUUUAGUUGAGUGGUGUCUGAUAUGACUUGCUCAAAUUCUUGCCAGUUCUCUGCAGUAAUUACUUAUCAGGCCAUUCUUAAUUGGAAGGAGGAGAUUACCCUUUAUAGACAAUUAACCCUUAUAUUGUUUAGGUCUUUUGUGUCUUGGUAUCCUGCUGUUAGUUCUUUGUUUCAAUGGAUAUUUGAAGCUUGUGCAUGCUGGUUGAUAUGUACAAUUGGUAUACUCAUUUGUUAUGAAAUCUACAGGACAGGAUUUGAGGAAAAUA